UCCGGAGGUUGCAAGCGUUGUUCGGAAUAACUGGGCGUAAAGGGAGCGCAGGCGGCUUGGUAAGUCUAAAGUGAAAUCCCAGGGCUCAACUCUGGACGUGCUUUGGAUACUGCCUGGCUUGAGUACGUGAGAGGAGAUUGGAAUUCCAGGUGUAGCGGUGAAAUGCGUAGAUAUCUGGAGGAACACCGGUGGCGAAAGCGGAUCUCUGGCACGUUACUGACGCUGAGGCUCGAAAGCGUGGGGAGCAAACGGG
rnacentral:rRNA from 1 species